rnacentral:lncRNA from 1 species
CACUGACAUAUAUUUAAACCCGGAUGCUUCAGGAGACAUUCAGCCCGAAGCAAAAGUAACUUGGUAUACAUACCAGAAUGACAUCGUUUCCUCCCCUUCUUCGGCGUACCACAUAUUAAACCCUUUCGAGAAUCAUAUCAGGACUGUUUUUCUAAGACACAAGACGCUCAAACGUAUAAAGAGGCAGUUGAGGCAGCCUCAGAGGAAUUACGCUUAAAGACUGUUUCAAAUCAACCCCUGUCUUCUCCAAGGCCCAUUGAUUGUCAGACAUAACAUUUAUAUGCCUUUUUUUUUCAACUGGUGUUUGACUUUAGUAACUUUUUUCCUUCAUUUUUUUUUCCUUGCACUCUAAAAAAUGCACAUUCCAAUAACAUAAGAACUUUUAAACCUGAAUACAUACAUUAUUGCCUACUCCGUUAGUUCAGUUCUCUUCUUAUUUUUAAAAGAGGUCAAAACUCUGAACAUCAACUAAAUCAUCAUACAUGUAUUGGGUGGUGAUCAAUACCCAUUUCCAAGUUGAAAUCUGUACAAAUUUCCUAUCUUUAUAGAUAAAAUGCAUCUGCCAUUAAUUUUUUGCCUUAGUAUUUUCUAUUUUUUUUUU